rnacentral:rRNA from 1 species
AGAGCGAACGCUGGCGGCAGGCCUAACACAUGCAAGUCGAGCGCCCGUAGCAAUACGGGAGCGGCAGACGGGAUAGUAACACGUGGGAACGCGCCCUUCGGUUCGGAAUAACUCAGGGAAACUUGAGCUAAUACCGAAUACGCCCUUACGGGGAAAGAUUUAUUGCCGAAGGAACGGCCCGCGUCCGAUUAGCUAGUUGGUGAGGUAAUGGCUCACCAAGGCUACGAUCGGUAGCUGGUCUGAGAGGAUGACCAGCAUCACUGGGACUGAGACACGGCCCAGACUCCUACGGGAGGCAGCAGUGGGGAAUAUUGGACAAUGGGCGCAAGCCUGAUCCAGCCAUGCCGCGUGGAUGAUGAAGGCCUUAGGGUUGUAAAGUCCUUUUAACGGGGAAGAUAAUGACGGUACCCGUAGAAUAAGCCCCGGCUAACUUCGUGCCAGCAGCCG